rnacentral:lncRNA from 1 species
GUCUCAAAAAGAAAUGUUUUAUAAUAAGCAGCUCAGAUACAAAAUCACAAGCCGUACUAAGAGGGCACAGUACAAGGAUCUGUGAAAAUAUAGACAGUCAUCCCUCGGUAUCCUAGGGGGAUUGGUUUCAGGACCCUCCUGGGAUACCAAAAUCUGUGGAUGCUCAAGUUCCUUAUAUACAACGGUGUCAUAUUUGUAUAUAACCUACAUACGUCCUCCUUUAUACCUUAACUCAUCUCUAGAUUACCUAUAACACCUAAUUCAAUGCAAAUGCUAUGUAAAUAAUUAUACUGUAUUGUUUUAAAAGUUGUAUAUUUUAUUGUGUUUUUUUUGUUUUGUUUUUUGAGACGGAGUCUCGCUAUGUCACCCAAGUGUGCAGUGGCACAAUCUCGGCUCACUGCAACCUCCACCUCCCGGGUUCAAGCAAUUCUUGGGCCUCAGCCUCUCGACUAGCUGAGAUUAUAGGAGCCCACCACCACACCUGGCUAAUUUUUUUUGGGGGGGUGGGGCAGACAGGGUCUCACUGUUGCCCAGACUGGAGUGCAGUGGCUCUAUCUCAG